UACAGAGGGUGCGAGCGUUAAUCGGAAUUUACUGGGCGUAAAGCGCAUGCAGGUGGUUUGUUAAGUCAGAUGUGAAAGGCCCGGGGCUCAACCUCGGAAUAGCAUUUGAAACUGGCAGACUAGAGUACUGUAGAGGGGGGUAGAAUUUCAGGUGUAGCGGUGAAAUGCGUAGAGAUCUGAAGGAAUACCGGUGGCGAAGGCGGCCCCCUGGACAGAUACUGACACUCAGAUGCGAAAGCGUGGGGAGCAAACAGGAUUAGAUACCCUGGUAGUCCACGCCGUAAACGAUGUCUACUUGGAGGUUGUGGCCUUGAGCCGUGGCUUUCGGAGCUAACGCGUUAAGUAGACCGCCUGGGGAGUACGGUCGCAAGAUUAAAACUCAAAUGAAUUGACGGGGGCCCGCACAAGCGGUGGAGCAUGUGGUUUAAUUCGAUGCAACGCGAAGAGCCUUACCUACUCUUGACAUCCAGAGAACUUUCCAGAGAUGGAUUGGUGCCUUCGGGAACUCUGAGACAGGUGCUGCAUGGCUGUCGUCAGCUCGUGUUGUGAAAUGUUGGGUUAAGUCCCGCAACGAGCGCAACCCUUAUCCUUGUUUGCCAGCGAGUAAUGUCGGGAACUCCAGGGAGACUGCCGGUGAUAAACCGGAGGAAGGUGGGGACGACGUCAAGUCAUCAUGGCCCUUACGAGUAGGGCUACACACGUGCUACAAUGGCGCAUACAGAGGGCGGCCAACUUGCGAAAGUGAGCGAAUCCCAAAAAGUGCGUCGUAGUCCGGAUUGGAGUCUGCAACUCGACUCCAUGAAGUCGGAAUCGCUAGUAAUCGUGGAUCAGAAUGCCACGGUGAAUACGUUCCCGGGCC
rnacentral:rRNA from 1 species